UACAGAGGGUGCAAGCGUUGUUCGGAAUUACUGGGCGUAAAGGGCGUGUAGGCGGUUUAGCAAGUCAGAUGUGAAAUCCCGGGGCUUAACUCCGGAAGUGCAUUUGAAACUGCUAGGCUAGAGUGCUGUAGAGGAUGGCGGAAUACCCAGUGGAGAGGUGAAAUUCGUAGAUAUUGGGUGGAACACCGGUGGCGAAGGCGGCCAUCUGGGCAGCAACUGACGCUGAGGCGCGAGAGCGUGGGGAGCAAACAGG
rnacentral:rRNA from 1 species